rnacentral:lncRNA from 1 species
UUUUGGGGUUUCUGCUCGGCAUAUCAUUUCAUUCAUCACCGCUUUUCCAUCAUGGUCCUGCUUACAAAGCUGGAAUCAGUGAAAAUCAUGGAAAUAUGAAACGAUUGAACUGCAGUCUCUCUCUCUUUUUCUACUCGCACUUUUCACGCCGGAGUGUGUGCGUGGAAAAAUCGACGCCAAGCUCACAGAUAAGGGUUUGAAAUCUGCGGGGUUAUCAAUAAAGGCUGUUUUAUGUAUAAGGUAAAUGGAAAUAUCAGCUUUUGAGAGACUGUGGAUGUUAGAUAAGACGGCAGACGGCGUGGUCAGACACGGAUCUAUAAACACACUCAGGAGAAACGCCACAUCUCUCCAUCACUCAGCGUCAGUCAGAGUGGAUCACAGGGCUCGACUUAUCGCCGCUCACUGUUUUGUUUUCUUCCUGAACGGGAAAAAAAGAAAAAAAAACAAUCUAAAGGACAGAGUCGCGCUGAACGGCGGGGCCGCACAGCGAGAACAAUAGGAGUAGAGGAGGAGAUUCGAGCGCCGGAAUCCAGAAGGGAAAUAGAUUUAGAGGGAGAGCCUCGUAGCUCAAGGGCUGAAAUGAAAUGUGAUUGUGUCGUGUGUGGGCUUGAGGGCGUGUGUGUGCGCGAACGCCACUGAAAGCAUUCACAUGGAGAAUUCUCAUGGCGGUGAACAUGGCAGUGGGGUCUGUAGCUCAUUUUUUUAAGGGUCCAUGUGGGGUGGAAGCGAAUUCAAAGUAUCCUCUGAAUAGAAACCAUAGACUAUAUAUACUAUGGACAACUUGGUCCCACCUUCAGUACACGGAUUCGAAGCCGAAAAGUUCUGGGUAAUUCUGCGUUUUUUUCUCAAUUUCCUGAAACCAACAUUGCGCAGUAGCGUUGUACGACCUCCACCACUUGCGUAGUAGUAGCAGCAUUGUGCGCAUUUGGCAGGAGAGUCGCCAAGAGUCACUGUGAUGACGUUCGGCUCAUUGCACACAAUCCUUGUAUGCCCAUUGGCUGGAUCAGGUGUCAAUCAUAGAAAACAUGAACCCCCUAGCUUAGCUUCUCGAUUCUUCAGUUUACGUCGUGGUUUCUCUUAAAGUCUUCAUUUUGAAUUUCGUCUGCGGGAUGUUUACCAAACAUGUCUUGUUGUCAUGUUUCCAGAAACAGAUUCCAUAUUUCUAAGUUUAUGCCUCACAUUUUACAUUGUUGCCAUGGAUACGUUUGUUAGCUUACUUCCUUAUUGGCUACCAAGACGAAACGCCUGCGAGGGUGUGAUCCCCCACACGAGAGAUUUCUGAUUGUAAACGUUGAAGAGGUUCGAUUUUAAGUCCAGGGGGCUUCGAUCGUCUUCCAUUCAGAUCGGAGGGACUAACACACCUCAGACAAGAUAAUCUGGGAGGAUAGUCUUGACAACACUCCGAUAAUCUGGACUGACUUUUGUUGGAAAGGCUAAGCGGGUCCAAAACAUGUCAAUUUCAGUGACGGUUCACAGUAUUCAACUUUUACAUGUAUCAGGAUCAAAUUUUAAACCUAGAACUUAAACAGAAUCUAACUCGACUUAUAUGUAUAUAUCUCAGUUCUUAGUUUUCUAUCUCUGCAGGGACUUGUGUUUAUUCUUCGACCUGGUGAGGACCUUUUUUCUUGUGAUAAAUGACAGGUUUUGGCUUUUCCUCUCAAGCUCUCUUUAUUUAUUCCUUCUCCCUUGUACAAUUCAUGAAUGCCUUUGACCUUUGAUGGCGUGCUCUUUCAUCCCAUUGGUACGAUUCACUAGAUUUCAGUUCUGCUUGUUGCGGAGGACACUUAGCCACAUCUUCAAGUGGAAAUAAAUACCUUGAGACGUAAACCUGUUAUGCUAACUUGAAUCUCGAUGAUCUACGAGCACACUGAAGUCGUUUUCAUGGUCGUUAGAUGUAUCCUGGACAUGUCAAGCAUGGAAAAAAAACAAACAUAGGUGUGUUUGUUGAUACUGCCUCUGUUGCCUCUGGCUGAGCGAUUAUCAGUUGUCCAAAACUACGACCACCACCAUCCCAACAUCCUACAACAUGUUGGACUUUGGUGACUCAUCAAUCCCUCAAGCUGCUUCUGUUUUCCUCCCUUUAAAUUGGAAACAGAGAUAAACGUAAAGGCUCAUAACUGAGAUCUUUGUUGUGACGUCAGGGGACAGUCUCAGGUGUGUGAAUUGGGAUUUCCCAGCGGUGACUGCUUUGGGAUGAUUGAAUAUAAUCUAAAUAAUCAAGAUAUGAAUCAAUGUCCCAUUUUUGUCUCUAAAAAGCUCAUUGCACGCUCUCUUCUCUAUUAAAAUAUGAAAAUCUGAAGUGUUAGGCUGCGGUGAAUCAGCCGAAUCAGUUAAUCAAACGCCUCCAGUCGGAAAAAGACGAUCUUUUACAUGAGCAAUGAGCCCCGUUUGAAAAUAAGAUAUCAAACUUUAGAAAAUUCACUGUUGACAUUCACCAAAUGUUGGCUCUAAAUCAAUCUGGAAAGUAAAGUCAUGGAGGCCCUCUAAAUGAGAGGAGAAACUAUCUUUUUAUUAGCCGCAGUCAUCUGUGGUCUUUAAAUAUUGAUCGGGGAACAUCUUUUUUAUUCUUUUAGGAAAUGGAAAUUGCCUGUAGUGCUUUGAAAUAAAAGCUAUUUCCUCUACAAUGACUGAGAAUGGACGCUGAGAACAAAAAGAGAAAAGUGCCAGAAUAGUUUUCUCUUUUCUUUUGGUGGCAGAUUUUAGAGGUGCAGAGAGUUGGUACUUGGAUGUUGAAUUAUGUCUUUAUGUCUCUGCUUUGGUUUCUGUAGUUUAGAGGAUGGGAUUGUUGUCAUAGUAACAGGCUGAAAGAAGCCAGUUGACUGGGUCACUUAUUAUACCAUAACACUUACAUCAUGGUAUCAAAUGCUGCAUUCCAGUGACGUUGGAAGUUCGAUGUCAGUGCUGGGAAUGACAUUGCACCUGACUUGACGGAAGUUGGAAAAAACCAAGAUGGACAUCUACUGUUAGUCGUUGUUAGCUGUCGUUUACAAUUGAUAGCUGUUGUUAGCCAUUGUCAGCUGUUGUUAGUUGUUGUUAGCUAUACCAGUUGUAAACAACGCAUAACACAGUAUUUUAUUCUUACAAACAUCAUAGCACCGUGUUCACAGUUAGACGUUUGGUGGUAUAACAUAUGUCACUUGUUUAAUUUCAUUAACCAAAACAGAAGUGCCAAUCAAUAAAACAUUACGAGAGCUUUCACUGUUACUAUUUAUUGUUGAUGCACUGUGCUGCCAUCUUGGAUUAUGACGUUGUCGUCAAGUUGGGGUUGGUGAGGAUUGUCAAACUUUCUGAGUCAGAAAUCUAACUUCAGGGGCCGAUCCAGAUGAAUUUCCGACUUCCGAGUACAACUGGAACACAGCAAUACUGUCAGAUCCAUGAUUUCAAAAUGUAAUGCUAAACGUUUGCAAUCGUUGCCAUGGCUACAUUUGUCGCACUUCCUUCUUUAGUCACAUUUCUUCCUGAUUGGCCAUCGUUUUGUUCCACAUGACUCAGGAUUCGGGUCGCGACUACACUUUGGUAUCUUUUGACAAACAGGGGGAAUCAGGCCUCAAACUGUCUGGAUUACAGGGCUGGGCGAUAUGGCGACCAUAGCCUACCUACACACAUACAAAACCAACUUUCAUUUAUUUAUCUUUUUGACACCAAAUAUAUUGACAUGGGCAAAACUGACGUUGGUUAUUUCGGUAUUAGUAAAUUUUUGGUUUAUCGCCCAGCCCUACGGGAUUAUCUUGUAGAGUAGGCUGUGACCAGAGCUAGUUUGACAAUUCAACCCAAAACAUUGUAACAAUACAUGAUGAUGAUGACAUGGUCUUGACAGGAGGCGUAAUAUUCAAAAAGCUGUUUAAACAUCCUCAUCCCUCCUGGAUUUGUUGGUUCAAAUGAAAGGAAAAUUGCUCUUCGGCUCUUUUAGGACUCGACAAAGACUCGUGUUAGCUUCCCCUUUGCCUGUGGAGGAAUUUUCCUGCUGAAAUGCAUUAAUGCAUUCAUCCUGCACUCCCUCCGAUUGUGUCAUUGAUUCGCUGUGUGGUCUUACAGCCAACUUGGCUCUCAUUUUCCCUGCAGAGGUUUUCCUUUUUGUGUCCUGUUGCAUUGUUAGAUUUUAUUACAAAUCUUCAUGCCCUCUUGGGGGAUUUUGUGUCUGCUUUCGCCCUGAGUAUAACUUUAUCUUUGUAAAAGGUAAAGAAGAUCAAUGGUUUCCACACUCUUACAGCAGCAAUCUUUUUUCAAUAAGCAAAAAGAAAUUAAAACAGAUUUUCAAACCGUUUUUUCCACAGAGAGCUGAAAAGUAAGAAUGCUUUAAAAGCUGACUGAGCCGGCUGAAUCUUCUCUUCUUUGCCUUGAACUCUCUACUUCAAACUUUUCUUUUACCGAGUCACCCUCUCCUCCCUUUCAGUAUUAUCAGACUUAUUUUGCGUCAGCACAGUGCACUAAAACGACUGAAUAGUUGCAGCAGAGUGUUCGUUAGCGGCGCGAAUAAAGGACUCUUAACACUGAGGAGACCUUCAGUUAAAGGAACGCGGAGCCGAGCCAGACACGAUCUACAGUGCAUACAUAGUCAAAUCAUUUCACCGCUUUAUCACCGAGACCUUGAAAGGUUUCCUGCUUUCAGCCGCUGGGGUUAGAAAGGUGUAUCUGCAUGAGAAAACAAUACGACAUAAACCGAGAGAGAAACUGUCGGAUUAAGGGAAGAAAGAGAGGCACGAUUUUUUUAAAAAUUAGAAAGAGAUUAAAAAAUCGGACUGUUGAGGUAGUUUGUUAUGAGGAUCAGAUAAUACAUACCUCUCAGUCUGGUAAUUGAAAUCACAAGGUCAACAGUGGAGGUUAUAAUCCAUUAUAAUCCAGAUUUACUCUUUCUAUGUAUGGAUGUAAAUACCCUACUGAUUUGGCACAAUCCUUUUUUCAUUUGUUAAUAUUCAACCUGGCGCCUUGAAACAUCCUAUAGGGAACAACUGAAGGCAUUACUGUAAAUAAAUAUAGAUAUGCCUGCAUAACCAUCUGCGCCGUGAUAGAGCAAGGGCAGGCCAUACAUCAUGAGAGACGUGAUAGAUUAUUAAGUGCACUCAGCAUUAACAGCUUUUCUGCAUGAUUGCACUAAAGUUAAAUGCAGAGAAGGGCAUUUACUUGAUAUACUAACCCUGGAAAGAUCAAUUCUAUAUGAAAUAACACGUAAUCUAUUAAGAUUAUAUAAUGAGUAAUGACUCUUUUUUUCUGCAACAUCAGCGUUAUAUCUAAGUAAUGUGAGGAAAAAAUACAACCUUGUACUGAGGACUAUUCGACUGUGAUUUUAGAGGAUCAGCAGCAUCUUCAUUGAAAGCGCCUGAGGUCAGCACCCCCCUGUGGAUGGAGCAGGAUGGAUUAUCUAUAUGCUGAUCUGCGAGAGAUGCUUUAUUCCCGACUGAAGUCGCCUUCUUUGUGUUUUUCAAAUGUCUAACCUGAAAGUCACAGUGAGUUUUUGGUUUGUGGAUCACAAAGAACGAUAGAGAAAUACAACCCCACUUUCAAAAAAGGUGGUAUGCCAUAUGAAAUAGGAAUAAAACCAAAUUGGAUGGUUUGCAAAUCCUUGGAAUUCCACUUUUGGAUUGGAAUUAGUAAAAUGACGACAUAUCAACUGUUAAAACCGAAUUUAUUACUAUUUCUUUGGCUUUUAUUGAUAGGACAGGAGGGCGGCACAGUGGUGUAGUGGUUGGCACUGUCGUCUUACAGCAAGAAGGUCCUGGGUUCGAAUCCGGGUCAGGGCGUUUCUGUGUGGAGUUGGCAUGUUCUCUCUGUGUCUGUGUGGGUUUACUCCAGGUACUCCGGUUUCCUCCCACAUCCCCAAAACAUGCCUAAGUGGGGUUAGGUUAACUGGCCACUUUCAAAUUGCCUGUAGGUGUGAAUGUGAGCGUGGAUGAUUGUGCGUUUCUAUAUGUCAGCCCUGUGAUGAACUGGCGACUUGUCCAGGGACUUGUCCCCUGCCUUCACCCGAAGAUUCCCGGGAACAGGAAUAAGCGGUAGAAAAUGGAUGAUAGGACAGGGUGAAAUGUAGGGAGAUAGAGAAAGAGGCGACGGAGGACACGCAGCACAUGGUCAAGGCCGGACUUGAAUCCACGACUGCUGCGGGGACUGUGGUCCUUAUACAUGGGGCACGCUUACCCCCCAUGCCAUCUUCACACCUCUGACAAUGGAAGUUAUUUUCAGCCUAUGUGGUUACUUCCACUCCAGAGUCAUGUCUGUUUCAAAAAAGUUUAGACAGGGACAACAAAACACUGAAAUUCCUUGAUCGGUUUUGGGCUAUAUUUAUUUGCAAACCGUCCAAAUCUGAAUCCAAAUAGCCUUCUUAAUACGUUUGAUCUCUCCAGAUCGUCUUUGAAACCAAACAUAAAGCUCUUUAGUGUGAAAAGGAACUAGACAGCUUAAUAAUUUAAACGUUUCUGAGCCAUGAGCUGACUUUUUUUCUGCCUCUUUAGAACAAGACGACCCUCGUUUGAACAGAAAACCUCUAACGUCAUGAGAUAGCCUUAAUUAAAACCUGAUUCUUUCAUGUUUUCUGGUCCAGUGCAAACGUUUUCAGCAGACAGACGAUUGUAAUCUGGGAGAUGCUUGUAACAUGAAAAGGAGAUAUGGUUACCUUGGUGUUAAAUCUUGUUGUGCUGUUAAAAUAUGAUUACCAGGAUGUUUUCUAAUAAAAAAAGCCAACAUAUAAGAUAUCCUCCCACAUAGGUAUGCUGCUGCUCCCUGGAGCCUCCUUUGAAAUCAUAUGGAAGAGCGAGGUAUGGCUCUUUGUAGAUUUACUUCAACACUAUCUGGUCUUAAGGUUUUUCCCCAAUUUCUGUCCUGUUGAGACCUUUCACUAGAAGGAGGCUUAAAGGGAAACAGGAAGGGUUUGUAAUAAAAGAGAAGUAAAAGGUGAGGUAGAGAGGGUUUGAUGCAUGCUUCCUGUUCGGGUUACAGGUGGAGGACAACAGGGUCAAUAAUCUAAUGACAUAAUGGCCACUUACGGUGAAGCGAGUGUGCGCUUAGAUAAGAGCUCCCGCUAUAAAUAGAUAAGAUACAAGUGCCGUGGCAUGUCGGGGAUCAAGGAUGUCACUAAUGUUGGUGUUGAGAUCAAAAAGUGUGUAUCCAGGAUUAGUCGAAGUGUCACACCCUCAAGUUACACAAGGGGAUAAAAAUUUUAAUACGGCUCGUAACAUCCUCAUAUAACACAGGAAUCAUAAAGGAGGUGUCAGUUGGAGCUUCAACUCUUGUUCAGUGAAAAUAUAAGUAGACUUCAACAGUGUAAAAGAAUUUGAAAAAAACUCAUAAUCUGUACAAACAAAAACUUUAGCAUUUACUCCUAAAUUCGUUUCUGUGUGGGCGGGGCCUAACGUUGGGCUAAUCAAGAAACCGGCACAUUGAAAAUCCAAUCCCUCUCCGUCAGAGGCCUGGUUGUCCAUUCAGAAACCUUUUCUUGAGCAUGUGCAGAGCGCUUGGGACAGUUUAGGUUGAUGGGAAGUUGAAUCAACCUGCUAAGCCAAUCAGCUUCUUAGAUUGGCAAUGUUAUCUGGAACAUGAACGUUGGAUGAGGCGGUGACAAACCAGGUUGGAUAAAGCCAGAUCCCAGGCACACAUGUGUGUCUUUGUCGUAUGCAGUGUUGCAGGGAAGUGUUGCAGAACAACAUCCAUCAGCCAGGCGGUGUCUCUGCAGUCACACCGCUGCUGAAUACCCAAGUGAUUCGUGGUCGUAUGUUGCAGUAUGUUGAUCAUGACAGCUCCGCUCUGCAUUGGGAUUCCCCUCGGACCGUAAUCUCAGCCAGCAGACUCCCCGGCUGUAAAUCCCUGAGUGUGUUUCCUGCACACUAGACACAUGAAGAAUCACUCACAGAAAAAGUUUGUGACCGUCACCGAACAUCGCGGCUGUGACAGACGCCGUCACGCACCUGUGCACACGCAGACAGGCGCGCAUAAUUGUCGCCUGCACUGUUAGCUUCUCGGUUUGGCUGCACACAGUAAGACACUCACAAACAGUUUGCCACAUUCCCAGCGAUUCCCGGGAGGUUCCUGGGAGGUUUCCAUCAGAAGAAAGGAUUGGCCUUGCACCUGUCAACUCUGCGCCGGUGUGUGCAUGUGUGUCAGCGCGCUGGCUAAGCAGCAUGGAGGAUUCCCACAAAUCCCUGAUGUCAUUUAUCAAGUACUGGAGGAAAUAAAUGAGCAGAAACACACGGGCGUGGACACACGCUGUUAGCAUGUCGCAUAAAUUCAAUUAAAAAUCAGGGAAAAAUCUGCAUCACAUGGAAAACAGAUCAGAUCUGAUGGUUUUCUGACCAAUGAGAGCUUGUUUUACUGAGAACAGCACGUGUUUCUAAACGUUCACACUCAAUCUUGAAUAUAUUCCUCCAGCUUGGACGCCUCCCCUGCUUCCAGGUCGUCUCCUCAUGUUCUACCCAGGAUUCCUCACCUUCUCGCCUCCUUUUCUACACGCACCUUCUUUCUUUUCUUCCAUCCAGUCCUGAUGUUUUCGGACGCCCUCUUUCUCCAUCUCUUUCCUCCAUGCUCCAUCUAUUCCGUCUCUUUUCACUCCCUCAUCGCCUCCUUCUUCAUCCUUAUCUCCACCUGCCUCAUUUCUUUCCGCUCUUCACCUUUCUCUCCUUCCCUCACUGUAAAGGCCCCUCAAUCUUUCAUGCACUCCAUAACAUUUUUCUGUCCCUCUUCUAACCAUAUUUUUUAUUGCAUUUUCUCUCUAUUUGUGCCCUCUCUCCAUCCCCUCUCUCGCCUUUCUUCCUCUUUUCCUGUUGGGGGUUUUCUUGCUGUUUUUACUUGCUUUCCUGGAUGCUGUUUUUCUGUUUGUUUUUUCUCCCUGCAGUCCUUCUUUCAUUCGUUUAAUCCUUUUUUAUAGUUUUCUCUUUUUUAUCCUCCUCUCCUUGCUUUCUGGCCUGUGCUUAGGGAUAGGGGUCUUUCGAAACUCGAAAAUCAAUCAUAAUGUUACUUUAACGACACAUGGCAUCUAUGUUUAAAUGUAAUUAAGGUGAGACAUGAUUACAUUGUGAGAUGUUCAAGGUCGGGUCGGAAAACCGAGAAUUGGGCGAAAGUAGAUGAUGCGCUACGUUGUGUUUAAUGUCACGUCCAAAAACAAUGAAAAAUUUGUUUUUGUUGAAAAAAUACUGUUUCGAUUAAGACUUGGAUUAUUAAAGGGAUAUUACGGCGUAAAGUUAAUUUAGGGUCAAACACACUGUAACACUGAGUUAGACACCCCCUCAAGAGAUGAAUGUUGCCGACCGCUUGUUUCUGUAGUUAUACUAACUUUAGUAACGACCGCACGAUACCUCAGGCCAGUCCAUUAUGGACUGCAGCGGGGUUUCGCAGCUCAAAGAAGAACAUUUAUGAUCAUUUUUUAUCAUUUCCUUGAAGUAAUAAUCACCAUAUUAAUCAUUUUGCACUGCAGACAUGGUAGUUCUUCUGCCUUAGCGUCUCGGUCUGAUUGCAUUUCCAUGAAGAAAUGAUCAUAAAUGUUCUUCCUUGAGCUGCGAAACUCCGCUGUAGUCCCCAAUGGACUACAGCGAGGUCUCGCUACAAACAAGCGGCUGUUGAUGAAGUUCGGUGCUGUUCUGAGAAUUAUUUGUGGCGUUUUGGUUGACAUUUGUUUAUGGCUCCUCAGACCGCUGUGUAUUGCUAUCGUGCGGUUGUUACUAAAGUCGGUAUAACUAGAGAAGCAAGCGGUCGGCAAAAUUCAUCUCUCAAGGGGGUGUCUAACUUGGUGUAACAGUGUUUGACCCUAAAUUGAUUUUUACACCGGAAUAUCCCUUUAAAGAGUCUCUGUAAGAGUCUUGAGUCCUAUUCUGGAUGGACUUGAGCACUGAUACCUGGACUUGUACCGAGGUUUGUAGACUGUCUGGACUUGGACUAAUUUAAUGAGACCGCGUGAAUGGCCUUGAUCAGUAAUCUAGGUAUAAGAACGCCUGGAAGAAAACCAGAGAGGCACAGAAUCCAGUCUGUAGUUUCCACAGUCUGUGAUGGUUUGGGUUGACGGAUCAUCUACUGGAAGUCAACCAUCGGGAUUCUGGAGCACUUAAAGCUCCCGUCUAAUGUCAGGCUUUAUGGAGAGGCUGAUUUCUUUUACAAGCAGGAUUUCACACCUGCCCACAGCACCAGAACUACCACCAAAUGGAUCCCUCAGAGAUUCUGCAGCAGAUUUGUGAAGAGGACGAUGGGAACCACUCAACCACAUUGAUGCUACUGGUCUCCUUCUUUCUUAAUCAUCCUCACAGCAAGAGGCAAUCCCUUCGUCUUUCCAUCCAUGGAGGAUCAUCCUCUUCUUCCAUCUCACCUCUCAUCUGUUUUUUCUCCCUCCUCUGUUGUUUUUCGGUUUUAUCCCCCCCGCAGUUCUGUCAUCUAUCCCCCGCUGUCUUCCCUCUUUUGUCUCUUAGUCCCUCCCUAAAUCUUUUUCUUCCGUCUCCUGCUGCCUCCUGGUUACCCCCUACUUUCAACCAAGCUCUCUUUCAUCUUUGUUUUGCUCUUUUUUUCCAUCUUCGGUCUAUCCUUCUUAUUCCUUGUCUUUCACCAUUUUUCCGUUUCCACCUUCUCUUUUAUUCUCCCCGCCACUCCUCUUCCCUCCUAAGAAGUGGUCUUUCAGGGUGACUGUGCGCGAUACGGUUGCUACAUUCACACACAGCGCUCUCACACUCCUCACACUCUUGCUCACAAACUCUCUGGGUAGUCUUCACUUUGAAGGUGAUGUACUUUAGGGAUUUGUCUCCUUCUCAGCUCCCUGACAGUUUGGCAGCACAUACGGUGGUCCGAGUGUGUAUAUGUGUGUGUUUCAGGUGCAGCUUUCCAGCUAAAGUAUUCCUUCACUUGUCAGUUUAUCAACUCAUGACUCCUUCACACUCUCUAUUUCAAUCUCACACACACUCAUUAAAGUGUGUGGCUCAUGGCGCGGAAAACCGGGCUAAGCCUGCAGGUUUAGAGGGCUUCAGAUCAUGUCAGCAGCACAUGUGACCUCCUGUAGUGAGUGUAGGACAUAAUAUCUGAACGUCAUUAAAAAACCCGAAGAUUCUUGACAUUACUAAUUGGCAGGUUGGGAUCAGUGCUGUCUUUGGCCUCUGUACUGUGUAGUUACCAGCCUCUGCAUUGGUUUGGCUUUAACAGGAAAGUUAGUUUCAGCAACAGAAA